UGAAAGAUAAAGUUGGUCUACCUGUAAGAGAAAAUUUAAAAAUGACGACUGAAAUAGUAAAAUAACGAUAAAAAAAUUGAUUUUAAUUGAGUUUUAAGCGGUACCAAACAUGUUCUAAAAGUGGCUUCUGCUUUCUCUCUCUCACUUCGCACGUCGAGCUUUUGGAUGAGCUCCUCUCUCUACAACGAAAAUCAAACUCUGAGAUGAAGAAGAAAGUUACAAUUAUAUUUAUUUCGAAAUUUUCUCCACCAUUUUAGAUCUCAGGCUAUACUUUUGUUUAAUUUUUUGAGAAUUUUGUAGGAAAAUUGGGAUGGGAGGGAGCGGGGGGGAUUUGGAGGCCCAAAUUGAGGCAUUCCUGAAUGUCAAGAAGCAGAGGACGAAAGCGGGUAAUGUGGCCGACACUUGGAAGGCCGUGACUGACAUUCUGAAGCUAUGCUUUGACGCCGGUGCGUGGAAAACCUUCAAUGAUCAGAUUGUGCUUUUUUUUUAAAGUGUUGUGGCCAGUUGAAACAUGUCUAAACAAUUCCUUAUAUGUAUAUGUUUCUUCAUUCAUAAAGAUAUCUGGGUAAGCUAAAAAAGUUAACUUGUUAAAAAAUAAGCAAAUCUUAAAAUAAAUAUAUUUCUAUCGAUCAAAUUUAGAAACAAGUAGAAAAGAGUUAUUUUCAGUAACUUUAUUUUUAUUAAAAGUAAGAGAAAAACAACUCAUCCCAACUUAUUCAUGUAACGCUGCAUUUCGUCCCUAAUUUUUUGCAUGACAAGUAUAACCCAUUUCAUUAUCCGUAUAAAUCUUGUAGGUCUGAUAGGGAACUUCUGGGUCCUAACAAUCAAUAUCCCAUCGAAAUUUUUGAUAUAUUUCCUGAGAUUUCAAUUUCUGGAUUCGUAUGGGUUCUCAGUUUUCUGAUAUGCAUGUCAGUAAUGGAGGAGCAGAGAGCAAGUGGUACCAGUUUCGGAUCCUUAAUCAGUCCUAUGUUGAAGGUCCUAGAUGAAAUGUAUAGUGCCCAAGAUGAACGCAUAAACGCAAAACUUAUCGACAUCUACCAUACCCGCCAUAACAUAAGGAUGUCAAGUGGUCUCAGUGAUCCUGCUGUUACAACAGGGAUAUUUAAUCUUAUUUAUGAGACUACCAAAAUAAGGAUGUCCAAUUUUAUUCCUGAAACUACUUGAAUGAAGCCAUUAGAUUCAGAAGGCCUUGAUGAUAACCUUGUUAAUGAUUGUGCUGCAAACCUUAGUGAUGAUGGCUUAUUGGGAAAAAAAUGCACCUGCCAUGAAUAAGGUCAAACAUGCCUAACGGACAGCCUAAAUGGCUACUUUGUUUCAUCCCAAACUAUCCUUUGUUUAACUUCAUGCUCACAAUUGCCAUUUAGAUCUUCGUAUCAUAUCGACCUUUUGAGCUGACUAACACAUUGAAGUUAUCUUUAAUACCCACAAGAGACAAUGAGAAGCUAUUUUACAAUUUGUGUUGUGGGAGCCGCCAUCUGUGGAUCUUUAUAUUGCAUUUCAUUCAUUAUUCUGCAAGUCCCUCAUUAAUGUUCUUUCCAUGCUGUCUUCAAAGUGUGGGGACUCCAUUUGAUGUUUUUGAAGAGAACUCACAGCAUAGACAGGCUCCACCACUUGUUCAGCUCCUGGGACACCCAAGUUCCUUCCACAGAGAAAAAACUGUGACAUUUAUAUUUUGUUAUCAAACAAUGGCUGUGAUUAUAAAUUACUCAUAAAAGUUAUUUUAACAUGAACAAAAUUUUAAGGUCUUUGGAAGCGGACAAAUCUGACUGAUUUCAGGGUUCUUACUCAAUGCCUAGCGCUUAGUAAAGUUAAUGAUCAGUAUCUGAUUAAUCUUUUCCUGAAGAUCUAUGCAAAGAUAAUGUGCUCAAUGAAAUUGUAAGUCAUGUUAAAUAUUAUUAGAUUUUUCCUUGAUAGUUUUCAAAGUUUGAUUUUUAUCAUCCGUCCCUUGCAUUUUUGUGAUUUUCAAGCUAGGUGGGUUAAAUUUUCUCUUAGUCAUUGAACAAAGUCUGCCUAUCCCAGUGGUAUCUAAGGUUACAGCCAUACUACUUUGUAUGGAUGUGUCACAUGGCUCACCUUGCAAGUCUGAUAUCCCAUCCAUUGUUGCGGGAGCUUUUGAUUGAUUUCUAUGUCACUUCACGAAAAAAGAAACCGAUGAAAUUAUAAUUUUCAGAAUCUGAACAAAGAGUCUGCAGAGUCAAGGUGGAAGCCUGGUUUGCAGACUUGGGUGAAUAGAGGAGGUCAGGGAAACUAUUCAUCAUGAUACUUAUCUUGUGGUACAAUGAUGGUGAUCCUAUAUUCGAAAAUGAUCAAUCUUACAUGUUGAAUAAUGUGUUCAAUUACCAUCAUGAUAAAUAUACAAAGAUAGAAGCUGGACUAAAGCAUGCACUCAGAUGUUGUAGUAUUGAGUAAGCCUAGAAUGUGGCGCAAGGCAUUACAGAUUGUCAAUAAAGAAGUUUUAAGAGCUUUCUGGAAAGGAAAUCUGGUUACAAUUGCUUGACUUCCUUAUUCUUCAGUCAACUUCUAUGUGCACGAACGUUACAAAAUGGUCGUCGGGGAAAUGCAAGUGCAGAUAUCCUUCUGAGCUUUUAUGGGUGGUCGUUUGUCAAGAAUAAAUGCUACUUUGACCACCUAUCCACUAAAUCUUGUGAAGAUACAGCUUGCUGCAAAGGUAAUAUAGUAAUACUUCAUGUAGAACUACCAAAAAAGAAAAGAUUAACAUAAAUGAGGACAACAUCCGCAGCUUAUUUCCAAUAAAUUUGGAUGGGGACAUAACAGUUUAAACAGAAAUAGAGUUGUACCCGAUGAAGCUACUACAGAAAUGAAGGUUUCUUUGGUCUAGUAUGUAUCUUGCUUUGGUUCCUUGUAUGACUAGAUAUGUUUAUCUCAAUACAGAAAUUUUUCUCUUGCUC